GAGUUUGAACCUGGCUCAGGAUGAACGCUGGCGGCGUGCCUAAUACAUGCAAGUCGAGCGAACCACUUCGGUGGUGAGCGGCGAACGGGUGAGUAACACGUAGGUGAUCUGCCCAUCAGACGGGGACAACGAUUGGAAACGAUCGCUAAUACCGGAUAGGACGAAAGUUUAAAGGUGCUUCUGGCACCGCUGAUGGAUGAGCCUGCGGCGCAUUAGCUAGUUGGUAGGGUAAAGGCCUACCAAGGCGACGAUGCGUAGCCGACCUGAGAGGGUGAACGGCCACACUGGGACUGAGACACGGCCCAGACUCCUACGGGAGGCAGCAGUAGGGAAUCUUCGGCAAUGGGCGAAAGCCUGACCGAGCAACGCCGCGUGAAUGAUGAAGGCCUUCGGGUUGUAAAAUUCUGUUAUAAGGGAAGAACGACUUUAGUAGGAAAUGGCUAGAGUGUGACGGUACCUUAUGAGAAAGCCACGGCUAACUACGUGCCAGCAGCCGCGGUAAUACGUAGGUGGCGAGCGUUAUCCGGAAUUAUUGGGCGUAAAGAGCGCGCAGGUGGUUGAUUAAGUCUGAUGUGAAAGCCCACGGCUUAACCGUGGAGGGUCAUUGGAAACUGGUCGACUUGAGUGCAGAAGAGGGAAGUGGAAUUCCAUGUGUAGCGGUGAAAUGCGUAGAGAUAUGGAGGAACACCAGUGGCGAA
rnacentral:rRNA from 1 species